GAAUUUUCAUGGUCUAAAAUUUUCUUUGGAUUUGUUAAUUUUAUGAGUGCUGUAAUUCCCAGUUUCAUUCAUCUGCAUUCCACUAUAGUAUUUCACGUUUUGCCCCAUCAGGACCUGCGGUUCAUAAACAUCAAUUCAACAGUAAUGCUGUGACAGACAUUAACUUGGAUAAUGUUUGCAAGAAAGGAAACACUUUGUUGUGGGAUAUAGUGCAAGAUGAUGAUGCAGUUAAUCUUUCUGAAGGAUUAAUAAAUGAAGCAGAGAAACUUCUCUGUUCCUUAGUAUGUUGGUUUACGGACAGACAGAUUCGGAUGAGAUUCAUCGAAGGUUGCCUUGAAAAUUUAGGAAACAACAGAUCAGUAGUUAUUUCACUUCGUCUUCUUCCCAAACUAUUCGGUACUUUUCAGCAGUUUGGGAGCAGUUAUGAUACACAUUGGAUUACAAUGUAAGUAAAUAAAAGACAAAAGUAUUAAAAACUUUUUUCUAAGCUAUAGUUAUCAGUUAAACUUUUGAGUAACUUAUUUGCUUUUACUCUGUGCUAAAAAAUUUUUAAUUUCAUGGGAUUUAAAUGUUUUCUUACUGCUUUCCUUCCUUCCAGGCCUAGGCUGGCCUCAACAGGCAUACGUCACCACGCUGUACUGAUUUAAAUGUUUUCUUAGAUUUCUCCACCAUUUAUCCCUGUGAAAAUUAUGUCUCUAUCAAUAGAAACCAAAUUUUGUCUCAAACUACAAAGUUUGAGAAUAAUAUUGUUGCUAUUUGUCUUUGGGUGUUUUUGUUUUAUUGGUGGUAUUAGGGUUUGAACUCAGAGCCUUGCACUUGCUAGGCAGGCACUCUACUACUUGAAUUCAUGUUCCCAGGCCAAGUAGCAAUCAAAAUUACUAAUUUUAGGGAGAAGAUUUUUCUUGAUACUAUCCACUUGAUUUUUUCUUUUAUAGAGAACUUAAAAUUA